CCUACGGGCGGCAGCAGUGAGGAAUAUUGGUCAAUGGGCGCGAGCCUGAACCAGCCAAGUCGCGUGAGGGAGGACGGCCCUACGGGUUGUAAACCUCUUUUGCCGGGGAGCAACGGGCGUCACGUGUGGCGCCACUGAGAGUACCCGGAGAAAAAGCACCGGCUAACUCCGUGCCAGCAGCCGCGGUAAUACGGGGGAUGCGAGCGUUAUCCGGAUUUAUUGGGUUUAAAGGGUGCGUAGGCGGAUCGUAAAGUAAGGGGUAAAAUUGAGGGGCUCAACCCCUUCCCGCCAUUGAAACUGGCGCUCUUGAGGGGAAGAGAAGUAUGCGGAAUGCGGGGUGUAGCGGUGAAAUGCAUAGAUAUCACGCAGAACCCCGAUUGCGAAGGCAGCAUGCCGGCUUCCAACUGACGCUGAAGCACGAAAGCGUGGGGAUCGAACAGGAUUAGAUACCCUAGUAGUC
rnacentral:rRNA from 1 species